rnacentral:sRNA from 1 species
GCAUAUGGGCUUGUGAUCCGUGUAUACGGU